rnacentral:lncRNA from 1 species
GCCUAGUAUGUGAUAGGUAAAUCAACUUCCCUACCAAUCACUGGUAUCGGCCCCUAUCAAUUGAUUUCCCAUCCAUCGCAAACUUUAGAUUCGGGUCAAUUGAAGUUUCAGCUGGUCUACAACCACUCAUUCCCGUUUCUUUUAACAGAUCAAGAACAUACUUCCUUUGUGACACUAUAAUUCCUUGUUUCGAUCCAGGAGAGCUCUUUAGAUACCUUCGGAUUCGAUGCACAGCUUCUUGGUGUUCUUCUCGUGGAGAAUGCAUGAACUGACUAACUAGGCUCACAACAAAGGCAAUAUCAGGCCUAGUAUGUGAUAGGUAAAUCAACUUCCCUACCAAUCACUGGUAUCGGCCCCUAUCAAUUGAUUUCCCAUCCAUCGCAAACUUUAGAUUCGGGUCAAUUGAAGUUUCAGCUGGUCUACAACCACUCAUUCCCGUUUCUUUUAACAGAUCAAGAACAUACUUCCUUUGUGACACUAUAAUUCCUUGUUUCGAUCCAGGAGAGCUCUUUAGAUACCUUCGGAUUCGAUGCACAGCUUCUUGGUGUUCUUCUCGUGAGAAUGCAUGAACUGACUAACUAGGCUCACAACAAAGGCAAUAUCAGGCCUAGUAUGUGACAGGUAAAUCGACUUCCCUACCAAUCACUGGUAUCGGCCCCUAUCAAUUGAUUUCCCAUCCAUCGCAAACUUUAGAUUCGGGUCAAUUGAAGUUUCAGCUGGUCUACAACCACUCAUUCCCNN